CUUCACUUGUAUCACUAAGCACAACAUCCAUAUCUCCAACCACAAUACCACUUUUCACAACAACCAGAACUGCUACAGCAACAACAUUUGUCACACCCACGACCAGGCCAAUGUUCUCAGAAGUUAUAACCACAUCUUUGCUAAAUGCAACUACAAAUGCAGUAACUCCAACUCGACUUCCAGAAACACAAAAUCCAUCUCCAACUGCUUUUAUAUCUCAAAGCACAAAAACUGUGUCUGUAGCAACCACUAAAACAACUGCACCAACAAUUAUAAUUGUAACUCAAGAAACCACUAUGCCAUUGUCAAUGUCAGAAGCUAGUGCUUCCCCAACUACAAGUGUGACUCCACUGACUGUAUCUGGAGCUACCACAAGUAUGCCUAUAACCUCAGGUGCUACAAAUGCAUCAACUCAAACAGCAGCAGUGGUGGCAAGCAAACUGCUAUUCAACUCCUCAUCUCCAGUCCCCAGUAAAUCUCUGGUCCUCAGUGCUAUCAAUACUCUGCGUAAUUCCAGAGAGUCACAGCUCAAUGAAUCGGUAAAGGUGGUGAAUGUCACCUAUGAAAAAAUCUCAGAAACCUCCUAUGCUGUGGUCUUUACAUUUAAUGUGAUUAACAUCAGCAUGCCAGAGGACCCUGAGUCUAAAGCCAACACCUACCUGCAAGUGCAAGAUACCAUCAAUAAUGCGGUAAACUUCAAAAAUAAACAGUGUGAAAAUGCUUAGGUUCUAUGUCAGUCUUCAGGAGAAACUGAUGAAUGGUUUGAUUUUUCUCCUGUAGCUGAACACUCUUCUGAAUGAACCUGGCAGUCCAAGUUUACAACCCAAGACCUCCAACUUCACGUAAGAUGCAAAUAUAUAUUGCAUUCUUCACUUUGUCUCCAUACAUUUUAGCGAAUCAAAGUAAUCCAAAACAUUUAUUAUUAUUAUUAUUUAUUAAACGUGUAAUUUUCAUGAAUUAUGUUUCAAUAUGGAUUAAAGUCCUUAAACAAAUAUUUUGUUUGUUCUGCAGGAGCACUUUAAACCAGAUUGAUGGCAGGAUGGAAUACACCUUCCAGGAUGGAGAUGUCAUACAACCAGUCAGCUUCCUCAAUGAGCUACGUCUAUCAACCACUACAACAGUGUUUCCCGAAACAACAACCAGUGUUUCUGUUACUGCUCCCAACCUCAUGUAAAUUUUGGUUUUCUAUUUUGACAACAAUCAAAAUUGGAGAAGGAAUUUUAUUGUAAACAUUUGAUGAACAUUAAACAAAAGUGGUUAUAUUUACAGAUCUGGUUCAGCAAUGGUCACAAGCAAGCUGGUGUUCAACUCCUCAUCUCCAGUCCCCGGUGAAUCUCUGGUCCUCAGUGCAAUCAAUACUCUGCGUAAUUCCAGACAGUCACAGCUCAAUGAAUCGGUGAA
ensembl:lncRNA